CGUCAUCAGCCACGCCAUCCACCCCUUGUCCCGGCAGUCUUGGACAAGUUGCUGAUAUUUGGCUUUUUUCCUCUCUGCAGCUUCCUCACAGCCCUCCUCCCACGGCACCGUUAACUCCACCAUAAUGAUCUUCUCUUCCCCUGGAGACCACAUGAUGAUGUCAGGCCUUAGAGUUGUGGACAAUACCACCUCGGGGAAGUUCAACCUCCAUUUCCCAUCCCUGGGCUGACUGCAGGAGAUUGUAAUAUAAUAACAUUAAUAAUCACACUGUCCUGGACACAAAAUAUAUAUUUAUAUACACAUUAAAUGUAUUUUAUUCAUAACCAUAAAUGUAAGUAUUUACACAAUUUUACUGUCUUUCAGGAGAUUUGAGCCGCCAUGGAAAGGGUCCUGCCUACCAAAAUCUGUCAAAGAAAUUUGAGAGAUGCUGUCAGCUGGACACACAGAAUUAUACCAGUGACAAUAAAACACAAGGCAUCAUGGAGAAAAGGCAGUGGGACCUGAAGCAUGUGCGCUUUCAAAGACAUCGGUUCACAAGGCUGGACGAUUUUGUCCAUAUUUAUCAAAAAAC
ensembl:lncRNA